AGUCAUUGAAUGACACAGUAAAAAAUAUAAAAAAUAAUAUAAUUCAUUUUUUCCCCUUCAACUUUACAAUAGUAUACAAUUGAAGAGUGUAGUAAAAGAAGUUCCUAUGUUACAUAAUGCUAGUUUUGAGAUAAAUUGCUUUGAAGUAUUUGAAAAUGCCCAUAAAUCGUAUAUGAUGUCGUAUGAAGUUCAGUUUUUGAAUGUUCACUCUAUGUCCACAAUAGUUUUGAAUAAAUUACUUAUUGAGAGCAUAAAAUUAGUCCCAUAUCACAUGUCUAUAUUUUAGGCUACAACCUGACCUGAUGACACUGCUCUGACCAGUUAAUAACUGCAUUCCUUAGUAUAAAAAUAAUAAGUGCACAUCAACGGUGUACACUAUACAUAUAUUCGUACAGUUGUAAUAUUUUUAUUCUCUAACACUUGUCUACAGUUUUCUUUUUGUACAUAGUUCAGUUUUAUACUCUGCAUUGGCUAUGGAUGUUACAUUUUUUCAUUAUUUAUUAUAUUAUUGGAGGUAUUUAUAAUUUCUUAGAAUAUAAUAAAUGUUUAAGGCAAUUAAUAUAUUCAGCUUUGUGUAACAGUUUAAUAUUGAAUAUACAUAUUAUUGCUAAUAUUUUGCAUUAGACGCCAAAUUGAUUCAGAUUGGUCCAGUUCGAUUGCAUGGUAGAUCACAAUACCAUAUGAAUGAAAUUUAAAUACAAGAAGCAAGAAUGUGGGAGAAGCGUCUGACGUCAUCCAUUCUCCUUUUUUUGAGUUUUCAACUGGCUUUGCCUGAGGCCCAUGUAUGAGUAACUUAAUUUUAACUUACUCAUAGAUAAAGCUAGAACUAUAUACUCAAAGACUCGCAAUUAUAGUUUUAGACAAAUGAUUUGAAUUUUAUAUUAGAAUAAUAAAUCCUCCGCAGCUUGCUAGGCCCAUUCCUGAAGCUGUGUAUGCUACCGGGGUUUAAAAACAUAUAUAUGUAUAUAUAUAUAUAUCUCUAAGUUUAUUAAAUAAUUAUUGGUGGAUAACUUCCUAAAUAUAUGGCAGGUUAAUUUCAUAGUGUUUUGGAGCUUCAGUAAAUGGAUUACCUUGGGUUGGAUUAUAUAAUAACUUCCCCCAAAAAAUAGAAAAAAAUAAAGUAUACAUUUUACGAAAUGCCGAGUUACGGAGAGAAAAAAAACUUACGGAAGGCGUGCAUGAAACUAUAAAAGUGUUUGGGGAUCCCCCAUAGAAAUGCUGAGUUUUCAUUAUUUAAAUGGGGGAAAUCAAAUUCAUAUCUUUUAUAUUUAAUGUACAUAUUUUUUUUUAAUAUUUCACCCAGUCUAAUUUUUUUUUCAAUCCAUUGCUUAGUCAAAUUGCAUUAGUUGCUUGAAAAAAAUUUAUAUUAAAAUAGUCCUUAAAAUUACAAAUGGGGUCUAAUGGACUUAAAAACAUUUAUUUAUCUAGUAUAAAGUUUCCAUUUAAUCUGUUAAUGAGACGUAUAUCAAUUUCAACCCAACAUUAGCACCUUUAAUCUUUAUUAUAUACCCAAAUGUGAAAGUGCUUUGUAAUAAUUUUUUUCAAUAAUUACAAUUUAUUGUCUGAGGAGCUUGGGAAUCUAAAUACUCGAAUUUCUUACACCUACACAGUGAUCUAAAAAAAUAUGAUAUUUCAAUAAAAGAACACAAUUUUCUUAAACACAAAGAAAAUUGAAUGAAAUUUUCAGGAAUUACAGUGUACAGUAUUGCAGCAAAGUUGAUAUAUUUAAAUACCUACAAUUGAAUUGUAUAACAUGAAAUUUAGAAGAAAAGUAUAAUUUUAAGACAAAUGGUUGAUAAAUAGUAAAUACAAGAACUCCAUUGAGCUGCAGAGUUGUAAAGCUUUUAAGAUUUUAAUGGAAUCGAAGAUCUUCACAGUUUGAGUCUAUUUCAAAAUCAUAAAACUCAGAGAGUACAUGCUUACGAUGGGAUAUGGAACAUUGGCGACUAUUAAAUUCUAAGGAGCUUAAGCAAAUUCCGCAAUUAGUCCUAAGACAUCAAGAAAAUCUUCUGCACUGACUGUUAGAACCGAAGAUUUCUCUGAUGGGCAAGAAUUUAUAUACUUGAAUUGGACAUUAUUCUCUUACGUCAAAUUUUCUUUCCUCGAGAGAGACAGAAGAAAAAAUUCAUCAAUUUUCAUUUUGAAGAAAAACAAAUUGUUGCUCAGUGAACUAUUUCGGAUACUCAAACAAUCACAGACACUGUACUGACCUCCAAAUCACAUAAUAUAACUAUUUCCAAAAAGAUUGUCGUUACUAUAUAAAUUGUAAAGAAGAGAUGAUCAUACCUACACAUGGGCUACCAUUGUUAAUGUAACGUAUUAAGCAAGGCAAAAAGUUACAAGGCAAAAAAGACGCAAGGCAAAACAGUACAGGGUCAAAACGUAUCAAUGCGAAAGCGUCUGAAGGCGAGAACGUAUCAAGGGGAAAACGUCACAAGGUGAAAGUUUUACAAGGCAAAAAUGUACCAGAGAAUAUGUUGAAGUCAAAAAUGUUCAAGACGAAUCCUCCUAGAAACCGAAAAUUAUACUACGUACAUUCAUAGUUAUAAUGGAAUAAAUAACAGCCAAAAUUAAAUGAAACCCAUGAACUACGUAGAUACUAAAUUAUAUGAGAAUAUUAACAAA
rnacentral:lncRNA from 1 species